rnacentral:rRNA from 1 species
GCAUAUCAAUAAGCGGAGGAAAAGAAACUAACAAGGAUUCCCCUAGUAACGGCGAGCGAAACGGGAAAAGCCCAACUUGGAAAUCUCCUUCGGAGAAUUGUAGUCUAGAGAAGCGCCCUCUGCGGCGAUCGGGCCCCAAGUUCCCUGGAAGGGGACGUCAGAGAGGGUGAGAACCCCGUCGGGCCUCGGUUCAGCUGCCUCACGAGGUGCUUUCAAAGAGUCGGGUUGUUUGGGAAUGCAGCCCAAAGUAGGUGGUAAAUCCCAUCUAAGGCUAAAUAUUGGCGAGAGACCGAUAGCGAACAAGUACCGCGAGGGAAAGAUGAAAAGAACUUUGAAAAGAGAGUUAAAAAGUGCUUGAAAUUGUCGAGGGGGAAGCGAUUGGCAGCUGUGGGUGCGUCCAGGCUUAUGCGUCUCUAACGAGGCGCUGUAUGUGCUGGGUGCUGGUCAGCAUGGGUUGGCUUGGCAGGACAAAAGCGGGGGUUGUUACCCCGCCGAUGCUGCCGGGCCGACCAAGGUGUGAAGGCCGCUUCUUGUCUUCGGGAACUGCGGCCUCAAGAUGCUGGCAGAAGGCUUUCAAUCGGCCCGUCUUGAAACACGGACCAAGGAGUCUAGCAUGUAUGCGAGUUGGUGGGUGGAAAACCCAUGAGCGCAAGUAACCUGACUGGUGGGAUGGCUCCGGCCUGCACCAUCGACCGACCAUGAUCUUCUGUGAAAGGUUUGAGUACGAGCAUACCUGUUGGGACCCGAAAGAUGGUGAACUAUGCCUGAGCAGGGCGAAGCCAGGGGAAACUCUGGUGGAGGCUCGUAGAUGUGCUGACGUGCAAAUCGCUUUUCGGACUUGGGUAUAGGGGCGAAAGACUAAUCGAACCAUCUAGUAGCUGGUUCCCUCCGAAGUUUCCCCCAGGAUAGCUGGAGCUUUUUCAGUUUUAUCGGGUAAAGCUAAUGAUUAGAGGUUCGGGGGAUGAAACAUCUUCCACCUAUUCUCAAACUUUAAAUAGGUAAGACGUAUGGGUUGCUUAAUUGAACCCAUGCAUUCAAUGAGAGCUCCAAGUGGGCCAUUUUUGGUAAGCAGAACUGGCGAUGCGGGAUGAACCGAUAGUCGAGUUAAGGUGCCGGACUACGCGCUAACCUAGAUCCCACAAAGGGUGUUGAUUGAUACAGACAGCAGGACGGUGGUCAUGGAAGUCGAAAUCCGCUAAGGAGUGUGUAACAACUCACCUGCCGAAUCAAUUAGCCCCGAAAAUGGAUGGCGCUGAAGCGCGUGACCUAUACUCGGCCAUGGAGACAAGUGCGAGGUCUCCAUGAGUAGGAGGGCGUGGGUGUCGCUGCGCAGCCUGAGGCGUGAGCCUGGGUGAAGCGGCACCUAGUGCAGAUCUUGGUGGUAGUAGCAAAUAUUCAAAUGAGAACUUUGAAGACUGAAGUGGAGAAAGGUUCCAUGUGAACAGCAAUUGGACAUGGGUUAGUCGAUCCUAAGAGAUGGGGUAAUCCUGUAUGAAGAGCGCGAUCUGCGCUGCCCAUCGAAAGGGAAAAGGGUUAAGAUUCCCUUACCUGGACAAGGCGGCUGACGGUAACGUAAACGAGCUCGGAGACAUCGGCAUCGGCCCUGGGAAGAGUUCUCUUUUCUUUUUAACAACUCGCAGGCCCUGGAAUCGGAUCAUCCGGAGAUAGGGCUCAGUAGUUGGUAAAGCACCGCACUUCUCGCGGUGUCCGGCGCGCUGAUGACGGUCCUUGAAAAUCCGAGGGAGCGGCUACCGAUCUUGCCAGGUCGUACUCAUAACCGCAUCAGGUCUCCAAGGUGCGUAGCCUCUAGUCGAUAGAACAAUGUAGAUAAGGGAAGUCGGCAAAAUGGAUCCGUAACUUCGGGAAAAGGAUUGGCUCUGAGGGCUGGGCCUAGGGGUCUGCGUUCAGAAACCGGUGGCUGUCGGAGGCCUGCCCGAGCUGCGCAAGUGGCGAGGGCGGGCUUCUGCGUGCUGCCGGCGGACGGGCGCAGAAGCUUCGGCGUUCCCUAGGCGACGAACAGCCAACUCAGAACUGGUACGGACAAGGGGAAUCCGACUGUUUAAUUAAAACAAAGCAUUGUGAUGGUCCUAAAGGAUGUUGACACAAUGUGAUUUCUGCCCAGUGCUCUGA